rnacentral:rRNA from 1 species
UACGGAGGAUGCGAGCGUUAUCCGGAUUUAUUGGGUUUAAAGGGUGCGCAGGCGGAAUGUCAAGUCAGCGGUAAAAUUUCGGGGCUCAACCCCGUCGUGCCGUUGAAACUGUCGGACUAGAGACGGCGAGAAGUACGCGGAAUGCGCGGUGUAGCGGUGAAAUGCAUAGAUAUCGCGCAGAACUCCGAUUGCGAAGGCGGCGUACCGGCGCCGGACUGACGCUGAGGCACGAAAGCGUGGGUAUCGAACAGG